GCCAGCCAGGAAGGAGGAGGCAGCCAGAGUGGCCACCACUGUUCUCUGCAGCAGAAGACCCCUUGCUGCCCUGCCGAAUCCAGCAUUUGCCAGAAAUGAGGGCCCUUCAAAUGGAAGAACAAUAUCUACAUUCUGCCAGAAGUCAGGGCAUAUAAAACAAUGUCAAGGCACAAGGCACUAAUGAGGAGUGAGGCCUUGUGUGAAGAAUUUGUACUUCAAAGCAAACAAUUUGUAAGACUGAAUCAGAAAUAAGUCUUUGUAAACAACAAUUUCUUCAAUAGAAGCAGUAUUUUUCUAGUGCUUCCAAAGUACUAGAUAUUGCAGCAAAUACAGCUUUUUAUAUUAUUUUCAGAGAACCAUCUGAAAGGGUGACGGAGAAUAGGAGAAGCAGAAAACAAUUUCACUUGUACAGUAUAGACUUCCCAGCUCCACUGAAACGUGAGUCUAUAGAACCCAGUGGCAGAAUAAAGAAUAGCAUUCAAU